CCCUUUUCCCAAACAUACAAUUACACAAUCAUUCUCAAAUGUCAAACUCAACUCGCAUCUCUCACCAAAAGAUCCUAAGAACAUUAACUCCUUCUCUUUGAAAUCUACAAGGGAUUUUUCACAACCUCAAAACAUUACUUAGCUCCUAACAACUUUGCUAGCCCCCUUUUUCUUUCUUUUUCUUUUCUUUUCAUAUAUAUAUUUUUUUUAUGGGGGCCAAGACUUUUCAUAACUUGAGCUAGAAGUUUUUCUACUUAUCCCAGUAAGACAAUUCACUUAAACACAAAGAGUUAUUUCUUUUCCUUUUUCAUUGCUCCCAAAUCAUAAUCACAACUCUCACCCCCCACCUAUAGCUAGACAAUAGAGUGUCCAAUCUAGCAAGAAUGAAGAUCGAGCAUUGUCGUUCCCGAUACUCUCAACAUUAUGCACAUG
rnacentral:lncRNA from 1 species